CGGUAAUUCCAGCUCCAUUAGUGUACAUUAAAGUUGUUGCGGUUAAAAAGCUCGUAGUUGGAUAUCUGAAUUAGUUAGCCUGACCCAUGUUAAGUCUUUGAUUUAGCUUGUGUUUGUCGGAGCUGACUCGUUCAUCUAUUUCAAGUAUACAUCAUGUUUUGGCUUUAUUGCUAGAAUGUGAUGGAACACUUGAAUCGUUUACUUUGAAUAAAGGAGUAUGUUUAAAGUAGGCUAUACACGUCAUUGUAUUUUUUAGCAUGGAAUAAUAAAUUAGGGCUUUGUGUUUCUUUUUUAUAGGUUACGAAUCUACAUGAGCAAUGAUUAAUUGGGCAGGUUGGGAGUGCUAAUAUUGAUUGGGAAGGAGUGAAACCCUAUGAUCCUUUCAAGAUUUCCAAAAGCGUAAGCAUUCACUAAGGCCUGUUUCUUUAAUCAAGAACGAAAGUUGGGGGAGCGAAGACGAUUAGAUACCGUCGUAGUCCCAACUGUAAACAAUAUCACCUCGGGAUAUGUCCCGUUGACAUUUUCUCUUGCGUUGCCAUGCACCGUUCGAGAAAUCAAAGGGUUCAGAUUCCGGGGGGAGUACAGUCGCAAGUCUGAAACUUAAAGGAAUUGACGGAAGGGCACCACCAGGUGUGGAGCCUGCGGCUUAAUUUGACUCAACACGGGACAACUUACCAGGACAGGACAUAGUAAGGAUUGACAGGUUAGCGAUUUUUCUUGAUUCUAUGGGUGGUGGUGCAUGGCCGUUCUUAGUUCGUGGAGUGAUUUGUCUGGUUAAUUCCGCUAACGAACGAUACCUUGACCUUUAAAUAGUGCAGCGUUUCUUAAAUUUAGAAUUUCAUCGUUCUAUUUUUUCAAAUGUGAUAUUGUACUUCUUAGAGGGACUACUGUUUGCAUAAACAAGGGAAGUUCAAGGCAAUAACAGGUCUGUGAUGCCCUUAGAUGUCCUGGGCUGCACGCGUGCUACAAUGGUUAGAACAACAAGUUACGUCCUUGGCCGAAAGGUCUGGGUAAUCUUUUAACUUUAACCGUACUGGGGAUCGAGUAUUGCAAUUUUUACUCGUGAACCAGGAAUAUCUAGUAAGCAUAUUCUAUUUUCCCAUGUUGAUUACGUCCCUGCCCUUUGUACACACCGCCC
rnacentral:rRNA from 1 species